GUGGCAAGUCUUCCAGUAUGGGGAGCAAAACAGCUAUGGGUCAAGUCUGAUAUCUUUAGGAGGGGCGAAGCUCCUCUUAUUGUGAGGGCGAGUUAUAUAACACCAUAGGACUGGCCGUCCCAUAUGAAAAGAUUAUAUUAGAAUUGAAUGAAGCUUUGUUUAUAUAUUGAUAAUGACAGUAUAUAUAUCGUGUCUUGACUAAUUGCGUGCCAGCAGUCGCGGUAAUACGUAAGAGACUAGUGUUAUUCAUCUUAAUUAGGUUUAAAGGGUACCCAGACGGUCAAUAUAGCUUAUAAAAUGUUAGUACUUGACUAGAGUUUUAUGUAAGAGGGCAGUACUUGAGGAGGAGAGAUGAAAUUUCGUGAUACCAAAGGGACUCUGUAAAGGCGAAGGCAGCCCUCUAUGUAAAAACUGACGUUGAAGGACGAAGGCACAGAGAACAAACAGGAUUAGAUACCCAAGUAGUCUUUGCAGUAAAUGAUGAAUGCCAUAGGUUA
rnacentral:rRNA from 3 species